GAUGAACGCUGGCGGCGUGCCUAAUACAUGCAAGUCGAGCGAAUGGAUUAAGAGCUUGCUCUUAUGAAGUUAGCGGCGGACGGGUGAGUAACACGUGGGUAACCUGCCCAUAAGACUGGGAUAACUCCGGGAAACCGGGGCUAAUACCGGAUAACAUUUUGAACCGCAUGGUCCGAAAUUGAAAGGCGGCUUCGGCUGUGACUUAUGGAUCGACCCGGGUCGCAUUAGCAAGUUGGUGAGGUAACGGCUCACCAAGGCAACGAUGCGUAGCCGACCUGAGAGGGUGAUCGGCCACACUGGGACUGAGACACGGCCCAGACUCCUACGGGAGGCAGCAGUAGGGAAUCUUCCGCAAUGGACGAAAGUCUGACGGAGCAACGCCGCGUGAGUGAUGAAGGCUUUCGGGUCGUAAAACUCUGUUGUUAGGGAAGAACAAGUGCUAGUUGAAUAAGCUGGCACCUUGACGGUACCUAACCAGAAAGCCACGGCUAACUACGUGCCAGCAGCCGCCGUAA
rnacentral:rRNA from 1 species